UGGCGGCGUGCCUAAUACAUGCAAGUCGAACGCUUCUUUCCUCCCGAGUGCUUGCACUCAAUUGGAAAGAGGAGUGGCGGACGGGUGAGUAACACGUGGGUAACCUACCCAUCAGAGGGGGAUAACACUUGGAAACAGGUGCUAAUACCGCAUAACAGUUUAUGCCGCAUGGCAUAAGAGUGAAAGGCGCUUUCGGGUGUCGCUGAUGGAUGGACCCGCGGUGCAUUAGCUAGUUGGUGAGGUAACGGCUCACCAAGGCCACGAUGCAUAGCCGACCUGAGAGGGUGAUCGGCCACACUG
rnacentral:rRNA from 1 species